GAAGAUUCAUCCUACACCGAUAUUGGAGUCCCAGGUUACCAUAGACGAACAUUGCCUCUGCACAUGGACCCUCCUGUUGAGUAUGCAGACGUCUACAGGCGUGGGACGCGGACUCAAGUGCUCCCCAUGCCCGUCAGUGAUGCCUUAGCUAAUCAGGAGUUGUCUUUGAUUGGCAGUGUCCAUAGCACAAUGGAUGAGCUUAUACCGUGGCCAGAAGUUGAGGUGGACGGAACAAUUUUGGCUUCAACUACAAAUCUGCGAGUGGAAGACAGAAACAUAUCAUAAAACAUCACUAUGUAUAUGCUUAGCCAAUUCUCCAAUUUAACGUGUGAUUGAUGCUUGGACCGAGAAAUUUUGCUCAGGAGCGAAUGCUGCUCGGAAUUCGAAUGCGUUUGAAUGAAAAGGAAAAUGUGUGAAGAUGAAACAACUUUGCAUAAACUGUUUCAUGUGCGAUAAUGUGCAUGAAAAGUGUGAGAAAAACGUGGUGCACAAUCAAAAAUUUCAAUUUAUUGGUGAUCAUUAGGGAUGACACCUAAUGUGAUGGAAAUUCUACUGAGGUGCUGUUUAAUAAAUUCAAGAAAAGGACUAGGAUUUGAAAUGUUCGCUCCCAUAAGCCGUCCGAUAAACUCUUCUGAAAUAUAUGUUCAGAACGCAUCAACACAUGAACAAAACUCAAUGGAUAUGAACUUCGAUCUUUCAUUUUUAAAGCUAUUAAUAAUAUUUCAGGAUCGGAACUGGGGAAUAAGAAUAAACAUAACAUUUAACCCUUUGUAGAAAAGUGCCAAAACACAUGUUUCUCGAAAUAUAUGCAUAGGUAGCUCUUUAUUUUAUUCAGAAAAACGUUCAUUCAUUACCUAAAGUAAAAAUUAAAUAUAUAAGAAGUAUUGGUGAUGAUAAAUUCGCAGCAAACUUUUAUCUAUUGUUUGACUCCAAUGCUGAGAUUUCAAUAAAGUCAUAUGAAUUUUUUUAUUAGUCUCACCGAAUCAAGCCAUUUCAAAUAACUUUCAUAUUUAAAAGUAUUAAUCAAAAAUUCGUGCGAUUACCCAUAUUUUUUGUAGCUUAGAGGUUCGAACAUGUACCAAAAGAACUUGUCGAAGAACUAAACGUUUAAACAAUAAUAAGCAAAAUUAAUCUGAGCAGCGGGAUUGAUUUGCAGGACUAUGGUUUUGAAUAUUAAAUAGCUUUCUUCCUUUUCUGGGGGUAUGAAAAUGAUAUAAAAGGAACAUGCAUCACAGCUUUAGAAUAAGAGAAAAAAUCGAGAAUGGUUUAGAUGUAUGAUCGAAAGCGAAUCUCUUAGCGCCAUCUGUUGACCGAAAGUUAAAUUAAAAGGAACUAAAACCAAAAAUUUUUGAAAGGCUGAGUCGUAAUUCCGAAAGUUAGAUUGAAGUUUCUUCUUCAUUUGCUUGAAUAUAAUGAAUUCGAAAUUAUUCUCUGGUAUUCGAAAUUUUCCUCUCGCAAUUUUUUUCCAUCAUUUUCACUUCCUCGGUUGAGGAAGAAAAUUCUAUUUAAACGUACUGAGAAUUUACGGUUACGGGAACGCCUGUUGCUUAUUCUUAGUUUCUUUAGCAUCAUUUAUGAGUUCCAUACUUAACCCUUUCUAUUUAUUUCAUUUAUUUACUUUACAACAUCUUAUAAGCAAAUUAAUUUUAUAUUUUCUUUUUCUCAUUUAUUCUCUUUCUAUCUGUUGUAUUUCUGUUUUUGUCUAUCAAAUAAGUU